GAUGAAGAAUGUAGCGAAAUGCGAUAAGUAAUGUGAAUUGCAGAAUUCAGUGAAUCAUCGAAUCUUUGAACGCACAUUGCGCCCCUUGGUAUUCCGAGGGGCAUGCCUGUUCGAGCGUCAUUAUAACCCCUCAAGCUCAGCUUGGUGUUGGGGCCUGCUGCACUGGCAGCCCUUAAAAUCAGUGGCGGCGCCAUCUGGCUCUAAGCGUAGUAAUUCUUCUCGCUAUGGAGUCCUGGUGGAUGCUUGCCAUCAACCCCCAAUUUUUCUAUGGUUGACCUCGGAUCAGGUAGGGAUACCCGCUGAACUUAAGCAUAUCAUAAGCGGAGGA
rnacentral:misc_RNA from 1 species